CGCUAUCACUCCUACGGGGAGGCAGCAGUAGGGAAUCUUCACAAUGGGCGCAAGCCUGAUGGAGCAACACCGCGUGAGUGAAGAGGGGUUUCGGCUCGUAAAGCUCUGUUGUUAAAGAAGAACACGUAUGAGAGUAACUGUUCAUACGUUGACGGUAUUUAACCAGAAAGUCACGGCUAACUACGUGCCAGCAGCCGCGGUAAUACGUAGGUGGCAAGCGUUAUCCGGAUUUAUUGGGCGUAAAGAGAGUGCAGGCGGUUUUCUAAGUCUGAUGUGAAAGCCUUCGGCUUAACCGGAGAAGUGCAUCGGAAACUGGAUAACUUGAGUGCAGAAGAGGGUAGUGGAACUCCAUGUGUAGCGGUGGAAUGCGUAGAUAUAUGGAAGAACACCAGUGGCGAAGGCGGCUACCUGGUCUGCAACUGACGCUGAGACUCGAAAGCAUGGGUAGCGAACAGGAUUAGAUACCCUGGUAG
rnacentral:rRNA from 1 species